GAUGAACGCUGGCGGCGUGCCUAAUACAUGCAAGUCGAACGCUGGAAAUCUAGCUUGCUAGAUUGAAGGAGUGGCGAACGGGUGAGUAAUACAUAAGCAACCUACCCACGAAGACUGGGAUAAUCUCUGGAAACGGGGACUAAUACCGGAUAGGUAAUCGGAAGGCAUCUUCUGAUUAUUAAAGGUUAAAAACACUGGUGGAUGGGCUUUUGGCGCAUUAGUUAGUUGGUGAGGUAACGGCCCACCAAGACGAUGAUGCGUAGCCGGCCUGGGGGGGUGAGCGGCCACAUUGGGACUGGGACACGGCCCAGACUCCUACGGGAGGCAGCAGUAGGGAAUUUUCGGCAAUGGGGGAAACCCUGACCGAGCAACGCCGCGUGAGGGAUGACGGCCUUCGGGUUGUAAAGCUCUGUUGUAAGGGAAGAACGGUAGAUAGAGAAUAUCUAAAUGACGGUACCUUACCAGAAAGCCACGGCUAACUACGUG
rnacentral:rRNA from 1 species